rnacentral:rRNA from 1 species
UACGUAGGGGGCAAGCGUUGUCCGGAAUUAUUGGGCGUAAAGAGCGCGUAGGCGGUCCGAUAAGUCGGCUGUGAAAGUCAGGGGCUCAACCCUUGAAAGCCGGCCGAUACUGUCGGACUAGAGUCCGGAAGAGGCAAGUGGAAUUCCCGGUGUAGCGGUGAAAUGCGCAGAUAUCGGGAGGAACACCAAUGGCGAAGGCAGCUCGCUGGGACGUUACUGACGCUGAGACGCGAAAGCGUGGGGAGCAACAGGG